AACAUGCCUUAAAAUGGCUUUCAGAAGUAUUUAACCAUUCUUUUCCUGAAAUAAUGAAUAGAAGAAAAUUUCCCAAAAACAUUGUAAGCCUAGAUCAAAGAACCACUGUCACCAAUGGUCUCUACGAUCAACUUAGCUCACAAUGUUUUUGAGAAACGCAGCCCAGAAUAGUGGUUGAUACUUAAACAUUUGUUUGCUUAUAUUUUUAUAGGAUUAUUCACCAUAAAUGAACAAGGAUUGACCCCACCCUCUGACUUUUUUGGAGUUGCUUGCAUCACACAAACGUAUGUAACGUGCCCUGUAAGAGAUAUGAACAUGUGAGCGAGUGUAUAUAUAUAGUUCAUGUUUCUUUACAAUGUUUGGCUCAGACAAGACUGAGCUGCAGAGCACAGCAGGGCGAUCAUCGUGGUUGGCAUUUGGCAUCAUUUGCAGGGACGUGCAAACAGGAUGCCAAGCAAGUUUUGAAACAUUCAGGAAAUAGCUUUUAAUGCGAAACCAUACAACUCUAUAGUUGGUUCCAAUGCUGCAGCCAGAAAAUAAAGAUCAUGGAUUGA